rnacentral:tRNA from 1 species
AAAUAAGAAGUAAAAUUUUACGUUUAGUUUCGGCCUAAAUCCUUGGUUUUAAAGAAAGCCCUUAUUUU